rnacentral:rRNA from 1 species
ACGCUGGCGGCAGGCUUAACACAUGCAAGUCGAACGGUAGCAGGAGAAAGCUUGCUUUCUUGCUGACGAGUGGCGGACGGGUGAGUAAUGCUUGGGAAUCUGGCUUAUGGAGGGGGAUAACUACGGGAAACUGUAGCUAAUACCGCGUAGAAUCGGAAGAUGAAAGUGCGGGACCGCAAGGCCGCAUGCCAUGAGAUGAGCCCAAGUGGGAUUAGGUAGUUGGUGGGGUAAAGGCCUACCAAGCCUGCGAUCUCUAGCUGGUCUGAGAGGAUGGCCAGCCACACUGGAACUGAGACACGGUCCAGACUCCUACGGGAGGCAGCAGUGGGGGAUAUUGCGCAAUGGGGGGAACCCUGACGCAGCCAUGCCGCGUGAAUGAAGAAGGCCUUCGGGUUGUAAAGUUCUUUCGGUAUUGAGGAAGGUUGAUGUGUUAAUAGUACAUCAAAUUGACGUUAAAUACAGAAGAAGCACCGGCUAACUCCGUGCCAGCAGCCGCGGUAAUACGGAGGGUGCGAGCGUUAAUCGGAAUAACUGGGCGUAAAGGGCACGCAGGCGGUUAUUUAAGUGAGGUGUGAAAGCCCCGGGCUUAACCUGGGAAUUGCAUUUCAGACUGGGUAACUAGAGUACUUUAGGGAGGGGUAGAAUUCCACGUGUAGCGGUGAAAUGCGUAGAGAUGUGGAGGAAUACCGAAGGCGAAGGCAGCCCCUCGGGAAUGUACUGACGCUCAUGUGCGAAAGCGUGGGGAGCAAACAGGAUUAGAUACCCUGGUAGUCCACGCUGUAAACGCUGUCGAUUUGGGGGUUGGGGUUUAACUCUGGCACCCGUAGCUAACGUGAUAAAUCGACCGCCUGGGGAGUACGGCCGCAAGGUUAAAACUCAAAUGAAUUGACGGGGGCCCGCACAAGCGGUGGAGCAUGU